UACAGAGGGUGCAAGCGUUAAUCGGAAUUACUGGGCGUAAAGCGUGCGUAGACGGUUGCGUAAGUCAGAUGUGAAAGCCCCGGGCUCAACCUGGGAAUUGCAUUUGAGACUGUGUAGCUAGGGUGCGGAAGAGGGAAGCGGAAUUUCCGGUGUAGCGGUGAAAUGCGUAGAUAUCGGAAGGAACACCAGUGGCGAAAGCGGCUUCCUGGUCCAGCACCGACGUUCAGGCACGAAAGCGUGGGGAGCAAACAGG
rnacentral:rRNA from 1 species